GGCGAGCGGCGGACGGGUGAGUAAUGCAUAGGAAUCUGCCCGGUAGUGGGGGAUAACGUGGGGAAACCCACGCUAAUACCGCAUACGUCCUACGGGAGAAAGCGGAGGAUCUUCGGACUUCGCGCUAUCGGAUGAGCCUAUGUCGGAUUAGCUGGUUGGUGAGGUAACGGCUCACCAAGGCGACGAUCCGUAGCUGGUCUGAGAGGAUGAUCAGCCACACUGGGACUGAGACACGGCCCAGACUCCUACGGGAGGCAGCAGUGGGGAAUAUUGGACAAUGGGCGAAAGCCUGAUCCAGCCAUGCCGCGUGUGUGAAGAAGGCUUUCGGGUUGUAAAGCACUUUCAGCGAGGAAGAAAGCCUUUGGGUUAAUACCCCAAAGGGAGGACAUCACUCGCAGAAGAAGCACCGGCUAACUCCGUGCCAGCAGCCGCGGUAAUACGGAGGGUGCGAGCGUUAAUCGGAAUUACUGGGCGUAAAGCGCGCGUAGGUGGCUUGGCACGCCGGUUGUGAAAGCCCCGGGCUCAACCUGGGAACGGCAUCCGGAACGGCCAGGCUAGAGUGCAGGAGAGGAAGGUAGAAUUCCCGGUGUAGCGGUGAAAUGCGUAGAGAUCGGGAGGAAUACCAGUGGCGAAGGCGGCCUUCUGGCCUGACACUGACACUGAGGUGCGAAAGCGUGGGUAGCAAACAGGAUUAGAUACCCUGGUAGUCCACGCCGUAAACGAUGUCGACUAGCCGUUGGGACCUUUAAGGACUUAGUGGCGCAGUUAACGCGAUAAGUCGACCGCCUGGGGAGUACGGCCGCAAGGUUAAAACUCAAAUGAAUUGACGGGGGCCCGCACAAGCGGUGGAGCAUGUGGUUUAAUUCGAUGCAACGCGAAGAACCUUACCUACCCUUGACAUCCAGAGAACUUGGCAGAGAUGCCUUGGUGCCUUCGGGAACUCUGAGACAGGUGCUGCAUGGCUGUCGUCAGCUC
rnacentral:rRNA from 1 species